rnacentral:rRNA from 1 species
UACGUAGGUGGCAAGCGUUGUCCGGAUUUAUUGGGUUUAAAGGGUGCGUAGGCGGCUUAUUAAGUCAGUGGUGAAAUACUCUAGCUCAACUAGAGGGGUGCCAUUGAUACUGAUGAGCUUGAGUACAGAUGAGGUAGGCGGAAUUGACGGUGUAGCGGUGAAAUGCUUAGAUAUCGUCAAGAACACCUAUAGCGAAGGCAGCUUACCAGGCUGUAACUGACGCUGAGGCACGAAAGUGUGGGGAUCAAACAGG